AGCGUAGGCGGCGCUGUAAGUCAGAUGUGAAAUCCCGGGGCUCAACCCCGGAACUGCAUCCGAUACUGCCGUGCUAGAGGAUUGGAGAGGUAGCUGGAAUUCACGGUGUAGCAGUGAAAUGCGUAGAUAUCGUGAGGAACACUCGUGGCGAAAGCGAGCUACUGGACAACUCCUGACGCUGAGGCUCGAAGGCCAGGGUAGCGAAAG
rnacentral:rRNA from 1 species